rnacentral:rRNA from 1 species
AGAGUUUGAUCAUGGCUCAGAAUGAACGUUGGCGGCGUGGAUUAGGCAUGCGAGUCGUGCGAGAACCGUAGCAAUACGGGAACAGCGGCGAAAGGGAGAGGAACACGUGGAUACCUACCCUCAGGUUCAGGAUAGCUAUGGGAAACUAUAGGUAAUACUGAAUAAUAUCUCCGGAUCAAAGGUGUGAUUCCGCCGGAGGAGGGGUCCGCGUCCUAUUAGCUAGUUGGUGAGGUAAUGGCUCACCAAGGCGAAGAUGGGUACGGGAUGUGAGAGCAUGAUCCCGCUCAUUGGGACUGAGACACUGCCCAGACACCUACGGGUGGCUGCAGUCGAGAAUCUUCGGCAAUGGGGGAAACCCUGACCGAGCGACGCCGCGUGUGAGAUGAAGGCCUUCGGGUUGUAAAUCACUGUCGUAGAGGAGGAAGUGUAGGUGGGUUCUCCCACUUAUUUGACCUAUUCUAGGAGGAAGGACGGGCUAAGUUCGUG